GGCUACUGUAGCACUUUCGUUUGUAUUUGAUAAUUAUUGUCCAAAUAUAGACUAACUAGGGUUAAAAUAUUCGUCUCACAAAUUAUGGACAAAUUGUACAAUUAAUUAUCUUUUUUAUCUAUAUUUAAUGUUUCAUGCAUGCAUCCAAAUUGAAAAGUUUAGGAAACUAAACAAAGCCUAGCUCACGGUGAUUUCGGUAAUUCAAAGCGCUUCAUGCAUGUAAGUUAGUAUAAUUAGCACGCUUAAUUUGUCUUGCGGAAAUGCAUUUUCUUGUUACGAUAAUACUCCAACAUACCUUGUCCACAAAAAAGUAGAAAAUAUAUUCUAGUUACUAUAAUUAGCACGCAAAUGUUCCAGGCGCAUGCAAAUAAUUUAGCUUGUUACCACGAGAAUUUACCACAAAUUGACAUCAAAUGGCUUGCCAUGAAGAUGAACCCCCAAUGCCCAGCGGCAAGCUUGCAAACAGCAGCCGUUGAUCUGGUAAAGAAUGAUGAACUAAUCACAUCUGCAUGACGGCAAGAAGAUGAACCCCCAGUGUCGUUCCGUUAGCCAGCGUUAGCAGAGAAUAUGAACAGAAUGGCAAAAAAAAAAAAAAUGUUAUAAGAGCGGUGAAC
rnacentral:lncRNA from 1 species